rnacentral:rRNA from 1 species
UACGAAGGGGGCUAGCGUUGUUCGGAAUUACUGGGCGUAAAGCGCGUGUAGGCGGGCCGUUAAGUCGGGGGUGAAAGCCCAGAGCUCAACUCUGGAAUUGCCUUCGAUACUGGCGGCCUGGAGCAUGAUAGAGGCGAGUGGAAUUGCGAGUGUAGAGGUGAAAUUCGUAGAUAUUCGCAGGAACACCAGUGGCGAAGGCGACUCGCUGGAUCAUUGCUGACGCUGAGACGCGAAAGCGUGGGGAGCAAACAGG